CAAUUAGGAAAAACCUCUGUCAUAGACAACAGGGCCUUCUGUUGUAUGUGUAGUUUGGAGACUCCCAACACGCAAAAGUUAGACGUUAGACUAGAUUGUCUCUCAAUUAGUUUAUUUUUAUUAUCUCUGCUGACGUCCAGAGAUCACCUGACCUGAAUAUCAACAGCGGAGGAGAAACAAAUAUUGAGAAAAGCAAGUCGCCCAACCAGAUUUAGGAUGAAGAUGAUCUCCAGGGUCCUGCUGCUCGUCAUCCUCAACUCUUGUGUCUGUGGUCAGUCUCCAGUCCAGAGAGACAAAGACGUCCUCAGAGAAGGACGAAUCAGACUCCAUGUGUCCAGACUGAGGACUGAAGACUCUGGUCUGUGUGACGUGAAAACUGAGGACGGUUCUGGUUCUGGAAGAUGUCAAGUCAGUACAUCCACAAAGAAUCAACCUGAGACUUCAAACUGGAUCAGGAACCAGGGCGGAAGAGAUGGGCUCUACUGUGGACUGCUGCUGUUUAUAUUUGUGAAGGUUUUCCUGAUUUACCAUCUUCUUCAUGCAAAAAGUUUUAUUCCAGUCUCUGAUUCCAGCCAAAUCAUUUAAAGCUCAUCAACGUCUGAAGCAGAAUGUUGAUAUGUGUUCAAUAAACUCAAAAUGUUGUAGUUUAGCAGGAAGUUCUGCUUGUCUGACCUUUUAAGGUU